UGAAAGUAACCCCUCAAGUCUAGGUCGGAUUAGGGUUUUGUGUUGCUUAUAAAUGUCGGCGAGAGGCCGUCACUCGCGGACUUCAAGUCUUGGAGGAGAAAUUCUGGUAUAAUUGUGAACAAAGUGAGACGAGCAUAUCCUAAGAGCUUGACACGGGAUGAGAGCUAAGUGGAAGAAGAAGAGAAUGAGGAGAUUGAAGAGAAAGCGCCGAAAGAUGAGGCAGAGAUCCAAGUAGGUGUAUAGACUGGAACAAGAUGGGUUUUUCUCCUGAUAUCAAUGGCUUCUUGCUGCAAGCAGUAGGUUGCUGAAGGAUGUUUGUUAGGGAGAGCUUUAUUUGUUCCUGUCUUCUAGUUUUAGCAACUUCAUUUUGAGACUUGCUGGAUUGAAAUGUUACGAGUUGGAUUUGAUUUUGGUAUGUCAUGUUUCUAAAUUUAUAAUAGAACUUGUUACAGAGUUUUAUGUGA